UACGAAGGGGACUAGCGUUGUUCGGAAUCACUGGGCGUAAAGCGCACGUAGGCGGACUCUUAAGUCAGGGGUGAAAUCCUGGAGCUCAACUCCAGAACUGCCUUUGAUACUGGGAGUCUUGAGUCCGGAAGAGGUAAGUGGAACUGCGAGUGUAGAGGUGAAAUUCGUAGAUAUUCGCAAGAACACCAGUGGCGAAGGCGGCUUACUGGUCCGGUACUGACGCUGAGGUGCGAAAGCGUGGGGAGCAAACAGG
rnacentral:rRNA from 1 species